AACCAUUCUCACCUGCGGCUAGACCUGCGGAGGGAUCAUUACUGAGUGAGGGCUCACGCCCGACCUCCAACCCUUUGUGAACCAAACUUGUUGCUUCGGGGGCGACCCUGCCGACGACUCCGUCGCCGGGCGCCCCCGGAGGUCUUCUAAACACUGCAUCUUUGCGUCGGAGUUUAAACAAAUUAAACAAAACUUUUAACAACGGAUCU
rnacentral:misc_RNA from 1 species